AACGUAGGUUCCGAGCGUUAUCCGGAUUUACUGGGCGUAAAGCGCGUUCAGGCGGUUUGGCAAGUCGGGCAUGAAAUCUCUCGGCUCAACCGGGAGAGGUUGUCCGAUACUGCUGGACUUGAGGGCAGUAGAGGGUGGUGGAAUUCCGGGUGUAGUGGUGAAAUGCGUAGAUAUCCGGAGGAACACCAGUGGCGAAAGCGGCCACCUGGAUUGUACCUGACGCUCAAACGCGAAAGCUAGGGGAGCGAACGGG
rnacentral:rRNA from 1 species